rnacentral:rRNA from 1 species
AUACGGAGGGUGCAAGCGUUACUCGGAAUCACUGGGCGUAAAGGACGCGUAGGCGGGUUGGUAAGUCAGGUGUGAAAUCCUACAGCUUAACUGUAGAACUGCACUUGAAACUACCAACCUAGAGUAUGGGAGGGGGAGAUGGAAUUAGUGGUGUAGGGGUAAAAUCCGUAGAUAUCACUAGGAAUACCGAAAGCGAAGGCGAUCUCCUGGAACAUAACUGACGCUAAGGCGUGAAAGCGUGGGGAGCAAACAGGAUUAGAUACCCGGGUAGUCC